UACGAGGGGGGCAAGCGUUGUUCGGAAUUAUUGGGCGUAAAGGGCGCGUAGGCGGUGCGGUAAGUCUGAUGUGAAAUCUCCGGGCUCAACUCGGAGUCUGCAUCAGAAACUGCCGUGCUUGAGUGUGGGAGAGGUGAGUGGAAUUCCCGGUGUAGCGGUGAAAUGCGUAGAUAUCGGGAGGAGCACCUGUGGCGAAAGCGGCUCACUGGACCACAACUGACGCUGAGGCGCGAAAGCUAGGGGAGCAAACAGG
rnacentral:rRNA from 1 species